UACGUAGGGACCAAGCGUUGUUCGGAUUUACUGGGCGUAAAGAGCGCGCAGGCGGUCGUUCAAGUCGCGUGUGAAAGCCCCCGGCUCAACUGGGGAGGGUCACGCGAUACUGAUCGACUCGAAGGCAGGAGAGGGAAGUGGAAUUCCCGGUGUAGUGGUGAAAUGCGUAGAUAUCGGGAGGAACACCAGUGGCGAAGGCGACUUCCUGGCCUGUUCUUGACGCUGAGGCGCGAAAGCUAGGGGAGCAAACGGG
rnacentral:rRNA from 1 species